CAAGCUUGGAAGCAUGUGUUCAAUUAUUUAAACAUUGUUUCACUCUCUCUGUUGAGAAAACAGUCUCCACAAUGAUGGGGACAGUCACUCUAUUCCUGUUGCCAUGGAGAUCUUUGUGCCUUGUAUUGUGCCUGACAUUCCAAGCAUCUAGGUUCAGUGAAUGAAGAGCUAAAAUACAUGGAUGAAUGCUUUCAUUUCGCCUGAUUUCUGAGCACCUUCUGGCUGAUAAUGGCAAUAAUACCUUAGGAAAAAGGGUUCAGGUGAAUCAGACACAACAAAUAUGGAAAUGUGAAGCAAAAGGGAAUAAAUACAACUGUCAUCCCGGAAGGACAAUAAAAAUGGAGAAUGCUUGGAAAUCCGAGGUAACUGGGGAUGUGCUGGGUAAAGGAGAGACUAUAAACUCAUGACUUCUGGGACCUGAC
rnacentral:lncRNA from 1 species